rnacentral:lncRNA from 1 species
CUUCAUUCCAGCACGGUCUGAGGUCCAUUGAAACCUGAGGUGUUAAAAUGGGCUGGUGUGCAGGUGGCUUCUCCAGCUUCUCAUUAGGUUGUUUUCAGCCACAGAUUUUCCUUCAGUGAGGACAUUUACAGAGUCCUCAACAGAACUCUUCAUAAAACCACUGCUGAGCCUCCAGCUUCUGAUGAAAUCUGGCAGCUCUCAGGUGGAUGCAUGCACACAAACAUGCACAGGCACACAAAGGAGCAGGAUUGCUCAGUGGUGUGUCCCAAGUGCUCCAAGCAGAAGUGAGCAGCUUUAAGGAAUGGUGGAAGUCUUAGCUAUCUGUGUACUGGGAAAAUGAAGCAUUUGGGUAAAUAUAAUAUAUGGCUUCUGUUGGAAAAGUUAUUCUCUCUGAGAAAUGCCUUAUAAGAGAGCUACAAUGCGAGGGGAAGCU